AUGAUGGCUCCAGUUCAACUCUUAGGGCUGCUGCUGCUCUGGCUCCAAGGCAUGAGAUGUGACAUCCAGAUGACCCAGUCUCCAUCCACCUUGUUUGCAUCUGUGGGAGAUAGAGUCACCAUCAGCUGCAUGGCAAGUCAGAGUAUUAAUAUUAACUUAGCCUGGAACCAAGAAAAAUGUGGAGAAGCUCCCAAACUCCUGAUAUAUCAUGCAAAGAGUUUGCAAUCAGGCAUCCCAUCAAUGUUCAGUGGCAGUGGAUCUGGCACAGAUUUCACACUCAGCAUCAGCAGCCUACAGCAUGAAGACAUUGCCACAUAUUUCUGA